GUGCUCAUCAGCAGCACAUACACUAAAAUUGGAACAGUACAGAUAAGAUUAACAUGAGCCCUGCCUGAAGAUGAGGCACUAAUUCCUGAAGUGUUCCAUAUUAGG